rnacentral:rRNA from 1 species
AUGUGCGGCAACAACGGCCUCCCUCCUGUAACCUCUAUCGAUGGCCAUGGCAUGGCGACCUCCACGGACGAGGAAAGGAGAGGAGGACAAGCAAACCCUGACGCCAAGUACUCCUCAGGGUCCCAACACAAGGACAAGCAGCGACAACAACAUCUUCUUCCAUUCAGCCCAAGGACAAGCAGCAGCAGCGACCACAGUAGAUGCAGCCAUGCAGGGGAGGACGAUGAUGCUCAUCAGCAGUAUCAGCUCAAGGCGGCGGUGCUGAUUAGAUUUGAUCCUCAAGGAUACCCAUGGACCUUGCUGCAUGUGGUGGGUUUUGGAGAACCAACUUGA